UAGUGGCGCACGGGUGAGUAACACGUGGGAACCUGCCUUUCGGUUCGGGAUAACGUCUGGAAACGGACGCUAACACCGGAUACGUCCUUCGGGAGAAAGUUUACGCCGAGAGAGGGGCCCGCGUCCGAUUAGGUAGUUGGUGGGGUAAUGGCCCACCAAGCCGACGAUCGGUAGCUGGUCUGAGAGGAUGAUCAGCCACACUGGGACUGAGACACGGCCCAGACUCCUACGGGAGGCAGCAGUGGGGAAUAUUGGACAAUGGGGGCAACCCUGAUCCAGCAAUGCCGUCGUGAGUGAUGAAGGCCUUAGGGUUGUAAAGCUCUUUCGCACGCAACGAUGAUGACGGUAGCGUGAGAAGAAGCCCCGGCUCACUUCGUGCCAGCACCCGCGGUAAUACCAAGGGGGCGAGCGUCGUUCGCACUUACUGGGCGUACAGGGCGCCUACGCUGUCUGUUUACUCAGAAGUGAAACCUUCGGUUUUUACCUGGCCACGGUUUCUUUUCUUCGCCUGCCACUUCCUCCCUCCCUUCUGGAUUACUUCCCUAUUCAUAGUCUAUCUUCUAUUUCAUUAUGAAACAUACUCAAACAAUCCAUCCUGAUUUUACUCUCUUUCUCAUUUCAUCCCUUCCAUCCUUCUAUUCCUUCAGACCUUCUGUUAUUUUACUUCUUCAAUAUUUCUCUUAUUUUUCUCUUAUUUUCCCUAUGUUCUCUGUUU
rnacentral:rRNA from 1 species